UCCCAAAAAAUAGNGUCCCAGUUCGGAUGUAGUCUGCAACCCGGCUACAUGAAGCUGGAAUCGCUAGUAAUCGCAGAUCAGAAUGCUGCGGUGAAUACGUUCCCGGGUCUUGUACACACCGCCCGUCACACCAUGGGAGUCGGAAAUGCCCGAAGUCGGUGACCCAACCGUUUACGGAGGGAGCUGCCGAAGGCAGGUCUGGUGACUGGGGUGAAGUCGUAACAAGGUAAC
rnacentral:rRNA from 1 species